AGGAGAGUUUGAUCCUGGCUCAGGAUGAACGCUAGCUACAGGCUUAACACAUGCAAGUCGAGGGGAAACGAUAUUGAAAGCUUGCUUUCUUUAGGCGUCGACCGGCGAAUGGGUGAGUAACGCGUAUCCAACCUGCCCCUGAGUAAGGGAUAGCCCAUCGAAAGAUGGAUUAAUACCUUAUGGUUUCCUUUGAAGGCAUCAGAUUAGGAAUAAAGAUUUAUCGCUGAGGGAUGGGGAUGCGUCUGAUUAGCUUGUUGGCGGGGUAACGGCCCACCAAGGCGACGAUCAGUAGGGGUUCUGAGAGGAAGGUCCCCCACAUUGGUACUGAGACACGGACCAAACUCCUACGGGAGGCAGCAGUGAGGAAUAUUGGUCAAUGGGCGGAAGCCUGAACCAGCCAAGUAGCGUGCAGGAAGACUGCCCUAUGGGUUGUAAACUGCUUUUAUACGGGGAUAAAGUCAGAGUCGUGACUCUGUUUGCAGGUACCGUAUGAAUAAGGACCGGCUAAUUCCGUGCCAGCAGCCGCGGUAAUACGGAAGGUCCAGGCGUUAUCCGGAUUUAUUGGGUUUAAAGGGAGCGUAGGCCUGAGAUUAAGUGUGUUGUGAAAUUUAGGCGCUCAACGUUUGCACUGCAGCGCAUACUGGUUUCCUUGAGUACACGCAACGUUGGCGGAAUUCCUCGUGUAGCGGUGAAAUGCUUAGAUACGACGAAGAACUCCGAAUGGCGAAGGCAGCUGACGGGAGUGCCACUGACGCUGAAGCUCGAAAGUGCGGGUAUCGAACAGGAUUAGAUACCCUGGUAGUCCCCU
rnacentral:rRNA from 1 species